GAUGAACGCUGGCGGCGUGCCUAAUACAUGCAAGUCGAGCGAACAGAUGAGGAGCUUGCUCCUCUGACGUUAGCGGCGGACGGGUGAGUAACACGUGGAUAACCUACCUAUAAGACUGGGAUAACUUCGGGAAACCGGAGCUAAUACCGGAUAAUAUAUUGAACCGCAUGGUUCAAUAGUGAAAGACGGUUUUGCUGUCACUUAUAGAUGGAUCAUCGCCGCAUUAGUUAGUUGGUAAGGUAACGGCUUACCAAGGCAACGAUGCGUAGCCGACCUGAGAGGGUGAUCGGCCACACUGGAACGGAGGCACGGACCAGACUCCUACGGGAGGCAGCAGUAGGGAAUCUUCCGCAAUGGGCGAAGGCGUGACGGAUGAACGCUGCGUGAGUGAUGAAGGUCUCCGGAUCGUAAGACUCUGUUAUUAGGGAAGAACAAAUGUGUAAGUAACUAUGCACGUCUUGACGGUACCUAAUCAGAAAGCCACGGCUAACUACGUG
rnacentral:rRNA from 1 species